AAAUCUCCUAAUUCUUCUCUCACAGCAAGCUUCAGAGGCCGGGGAGUGAUUGAUAUUUUCUAUCGCUUCAUUAAUAGUCACAGCACAGUAGUUUUCUAAUCUGUUUUUGCACCGCUUUUUAUUUUGAAUAAUUUGUCUUUCAAAUUUUCCCAGCCCUCUGUGUCACACAAAGCAAAUGCUGUUUGCUCCCCUCCUGCCUUUUAACCACUGGGUUGGGACCUUUGGGAGCUGCUGAGGCAAAGCUGUCCAAGAGAUGGGAAGCUGGGACCUGCCUCCUGGAGCUUCCUCAGAUGUGCUCAUAGCACAGCUUGGCAAAUAUACUUGGGAUAUGUCCUCGAACUGGAUAAACUGAGAGUAACUACUACAAGGGAAGUCUCCCCUUAUCUCUCUGCUGACUGAUAGCAGGACCUGUGGUGCAAGUCUUGCAAUGCUGUCGCAGAAGACAAAAGAUAAGCCAUGCAUGAGACCACCUACAAUCUAUUCAGGCAAAGGGGAAGAAAUGUGAAGGUUGAAGCUAUUGAGAGUCUGAGACCUAUUUCUGGUUGUAAAGAAGGUUCUCAGGACACAGGAACAAAUCAAACAAAAAGAAUCCAGGGAAAACCUGGGACAUCUGCUGCUGGUCUUUCCAGCACAUCUCCAGGAACGAAGCUCUCCAGGAUAAAGAUAGGAAACUGCAGUGGGAUCCAUUUGCCAAGAGGUUUGGGCAUUAUCUCCUGAGAUGCAGAGAAAAGCAGCACAAGGGCUAGCUGUUGUGAAGCUGCAAGCCAGCUCAGCUCUACCAUGCUGUACGAGCUACAUCUCCUCAUUGCCUUUUGAACACCUGGAACCUUCACCUGUAGAUGAGCUGUCUCCCUGGGUUAGACAGCUCUCUGUGCUCUGGCAUGUCUGCAUUAUUCCUGAAUGCUCUGUACACUGUUUUUUCAUUCAACCCAACUUGGAAAAAGGCAGACAGGCAGUAGUCUAAACACCCCAAGAGUCUGUAUUUGCUUUGUUCCUUAUGUGUGCCAGCACAACCUGCUCCCCUGUGAUUUAAAACAGCGUGUCUUUGUGCUUAUCUUCUGGGCUUGGCAAGGCAAUUUUUACCUCUUCGUUUUUGUCUCAACAGGAGAAAUUGCUGUCUAACUGAUCCUUUGUGGACUUCUGACCAAAACCAUCCAGUGCAACAUAUGCACAGACACAUCCAGAUUCCUGCUAGGAUUUGGAAUUGGCAUCGAGCAACACCCACUCCUCCACCCGGACCAGAAACCACCGAGAUGUCCCUCCCUCGGAUGAAGCUCAUGUGUCACUCACAACCCAUGGCAGAGGGCGUGCAGGGGCUUGGAGCAGAGGACAGUUGGAAUGGGAAGAUAUAGCAUGGUUAACCAGAAUCCAGACUCAUCUGAGCUCCUUGGGCAUCUCCCACUGCAUCAUUCAGGACCUGAGGUUCCCAUGUGCCUUUCUGGUCUUCUCAGCAAGCUAAUGGAAACAAUCCUGAAACUUCAAGGCAGAACGAUGAGGUUUUAGAGUUCCCCUGACUGUUAACGAGAGAGUUGAUUCAGCUUAAGAG
ensembl:lncRNA